AUAAUAAAAACGGGGAGCUUGCGUAUCAAGCAGGCUGAGAGGAGACUGAAUCGUCUCGACCCUUUACCUGAUUUGGAUAAUGCCAACGUAGGGAUAUACAGGCACGAAGAA
rnacentral:ncRNA from 2 species